CGGACGGGUGAGUAAUGUAUGGGGAUCUGCCUGAUGGCGGGGGAUAACUACUGGAAACGGUAGCUAAUACCGCAUAAUGUCUGCGGACCAAAGCGGGGGACCUCCGGGCCUCGCGCCAUCAGAUGAACCCAUAUGGGAUUAACUUGUAGGUAAGGUAACGGCUUACCUAGGCGACGAUCCCUAGCUGGUCUGAGAGGAUGAUCAGCCACACUGGGACUGAGACACGGCCCAG
rnacentral:rRNA from 1 species